rnacentral:rRNA from 1 species
ACUCCUACGGGAGGCAGCAGUGGGGAAUAUUGCACAAUGGGGGAAACCCUGAUGCAGCCAUGCCGCGUGUGUGAAGAAGGCCUUCGGGUUGUAAAGCACUUUCAGUAGGGAGGAAGGUAGUGUAGUUAACACCUGCACUAUUUGACGUUACCUACAGAAGAAGCACCGGCUAACUCCGUGCCAGCAGCCGCGGUAAUACGGAGGGUGCGAGCGUUAAUCGGAAUUACUGGGCGUAAAGCGCAUGCAGGCGGCCUGUUAAGUCAGAUGUGAAAGCCCGGGGCUUAACCUCGGAAUUGCAUUUGAAACUGGCAGGCUAGAGUCUUGUAGAGGGGGGUAGAAUUUCAGGUGUAGCGGUGAAAUGCGUAGAGAUCUGAAGGAAUACCAGUGGCGAAGGCGGCCCCCUGGACAAAGACUGACGCUCAGAUGCGAAAAGCGUGGGGAGCAAACAGGAUUAGAUACCCUGGUAGGAUAGCG